AGAUAACAAUUUUGGUUGUUCUUACGUUGUUUAUGGUUGUUUCAUACUUUUGGUUGUUGCAGCAACCAUUAACAUCAUAAUAACAACCAUUAAUA
rnacentral:pre_miRNA from 1 species